rnacentral:rRNA from 1 species
GACGAACGCUGGCGGCGUGCCUAACACAUGCAAGUCGAGCGAAGUGAGUACUACGGUACGAACUUAGCGGCGGACGGGUGAGUAACGCGUGGACAAUCUACCCUGUAGACUGGGAUAACACCUCGAAAGGGGUGCUAAUACCGGAUAAUGUCGAGAAGCGGCAUCGCUUUUUGAAGAAAGGAGAGAAUCCGCUAUCGGAGGAGUCCGCGUCCCAUUAGCUAGUUGGGGAGGGUAACGGCCCACCAAGGCGACGCUGGGUAGCCGGCCUGAGAGGGUGAACGGCCACACUGGAACUGAGACACGGUCCAGACUCCUACGGGAGGCAGCAGUGGGGAAUAUUGUGCAAUGGGGGAAACCCUGACACAGCAACGCCGCGUGAGCGAAAAAGGCCUUCGGGUUGUAAAGCUCAAUAGUAUGGGAAGAUAAUGACGGUACCAUACGAAAGCCCCGGCUAACUACGUGCCAGCAGCCGCGGUAACAC